GUUUGUGUGGCCUAGUGGUUAGGGCGUCUGUCUUACAUCUUGGUAAUCGCCAAUGAGUUCACAGAAGAUCCCCGGUUCGACCCCGGGCGCGAACA